rnacentral:rRNA from 1 species
GGAAUAUUGGGCAAUGGGGGGAACCCUGACCCAGCCAUGCCGCGUGAGGGAAGUAGGCCCUACGGGUCGUGAACCUCUUUUGCCGGGGGACAAUGACGCCGUCGCGAACGGUGUUUGCGGGUACCCGGCGAAUAAGCAUCGGCUAACUCCGUGCCAGCAGCCGCGGUAAUACGGAGGAUGCGAGCGUUAUCCGGAUUCAUUGGGUUUAAAGGGUGCGCAGGCGGCCGGCCAAGUCAGCGGUGAAAGUCAGGGGCCCAACCCCGGAAGUGCCGUUGAUACUGGUUGGCUGGAAUGCGGUCGAGGCGGGCGGAAUGUGGCGUGUAGCGGUGAAAUGCGUAGAUAUGCCACAGAACGCCGAUAGCGAAGGCAGCUCGCCAGGCCUGCAUUGACGCUCGGGCACGAAAGCGUGGGGAUCGAACA